AUUACCAUUCUCCAUUUAUUAAGUCUUGAAUUCGGAAAUAAGCUUCGAUAAUAAUAGUGUUUUCUUCCACAGUGUAACAAUUUAGUUGCAUUCAGGGUUAGUCAAGCGGCAUAGGAAAAACGGUUUAUUAAAUCAUACUAUCAACAUGCGGCGCCACGUGCGUUAUCUAUGCAGAUUUCUGUAAAUUUAGGGUACGUGGCAAGGUCGUUAAUAGAAACUACUCAUGCCAUCUAUUGGUAGUGUGAUUUCAAUAUAAAUCCACGAAUUUAUCCAAAAAUCCAAAAUAUUAAGCAACCUUUGGUGCGCAAUGUCACAUUACAUUCAACGGUGUCAAAAAGUUUUUUCAAUUUUAAAUGUUUCAAUUUCCAAUUUGAAUUAUUUUGCUACGUGUUGUGUAAUCUCAAAAACAUUUAAGUUUUGAACUUUCGAAGGCUAAAAUUUGCUCUGGUGUGGACCUAUUAUACACUUAAAAGGCAACCUACAACGUUUAUUAAACAACUUCUGGCUGGCUGGAACACAUGAUUCUGGAAACAGUGCAUCUCUCUACUUGUGAAAGCUAUCCAGAAACAAAUCGACUUGGGCACCAAAAAUAACUUCGAGAAUUUAAACCAAAUUUCAUUUUUCAAGUGGACAUCUAUGAUGGACACCGUUUAAGACUUCUACCUUGCACAUAGUGUCUUUUAUUUAAUACACGCGUUCAUUCAUUCAUUUGUACAAAAGCCACAAAAACGUAUCUUAACACCCUCCUUUUUCCCGUUAAGUUUCAAGGAAAGUUAGAACUGCUGAAUCCACCAAAGUGGAGUCCUUACAUUAAAAUCAGAAAAACCUCUUACGCAUAAUAAGUUCAUAUAAGUAAAUUUGUUGUAAAGUCAUCUACGUGAGCCUACUACCAACACGAAAACAUACAAGAAAUGUUUGCACAAACUAUUAAAAGCACUAUUUUUCUGUGAAAAUUGAAUUGGGCACAUGUCUAAAACUCCAAUAGUACCUUAUUAGGGUCCGUAUUUACUUAUUUAGUUCUUUAAUUUUUUUCCAAGUUACAAAAUAAUGUUAAAUAAUCGUUUUUUGAGGGUGAGAAAGUCGCCAAAUUAAUAUGUGGAAGCCAAACACGACAUUUAUUUCUUAUAAUUGAUAUUUUCAUAAUUUGUGAAACGUUAAUUUAUUAAUAAAUUAUUUUCAUUCA